GCACCAUCCAGGCAGGGCACGGGAUGGCCAGAUCAUGGGCCUCCCGUCCCUACCCAUGUGGAGUGGGAGUUAGGGGUCUGGUACGAGAACGGUGAUUUAAAAUAUUAAUGAGCCCCUGGAGAUGAGUACCCUGGCUACCCCCGCUUUGGAGGCGGGCAGACAGAGGCAGAGAGAGAAGCCACCUGCCGAAGGCACGCAAGGUUUUCAAUUGGAGGAAGAACGGAUCAGCAGACUGUGGUAUAUCAACACAAUGGAAUAUAAAGGAGCCUGCCUUAUAGAAGGAAAUCCUGGCACCUGUUACAACGUGGAUGAACUUUGAGGACAUUGUGUUCAAUGAAAUAAACCAGACACAAAACAACAAA